rnacentral:rRNA from 1 species
CCUACGGGAGGCAGCAGUGGGGAAUAUUGGACAAUGGGGGGAACCCUGAUCCAGCCAUGCCGCGUGUGUGAAGAAGGCCCUCGGGUUGUAAAGCACUUUCAGUGAGGAAGAACGCCUGGUGGUUAAUACCCAUCAGGAAAGACAUCACUCACAGAAGAAGCACCGGCUAACUCCGUGCCAGCAGCCGCGGUAAUACGGAGGGUGCGAGCGUUAAUCGGAAUUACUGGGCGUAAAGCGCGCGUAGGUGGCUUGAUAAGCCGGUUGUGAAAGCCCCGGGCUCAACCUGGGAACGGCAUCCGGAACUGUCAAGCUAGAGUGCAGGAGAGGAAGGUAGAAUUCCCGGUGUAGCGGUGAAAUGCGUAGAGAGCGGGAGGAAUACCAGUGGAGAAGGCGGCCUUCUGGACUGACACUGACACUGAGGUGCGAAAGCGUGGGUAGCAAACAGGAUUAGAUACCCGAGUAGUC